UUUAACAGCGGGAUAAGUAGAUUUUAAUAUCGGUAAAGAGAGAAUACGGUUGGUGCAAGUAUUUCCGUAAAAUAAAUCGAAGCUACCCAUAUAUGCUGUGUGCAUUAAUACUGCACCGUUUGACUUGCGUUAAAAGUUACUUGAGAUACGGCAGUUUUGUCGUAAUCAGGGUGGUACCGUGUUUAUUAACGCCCCUGUU
rnacentral:ncRNA from 1 species